AGAGUUUGAUCCUGGCUCAGGAUGAACGCUAGCUACAGGCUUAACACAUGCAAGUCGAGGGGAAACGAUAUUGGAAGCUUGCUUCCGAUAGGCGUCGACCGGCGUACGGGUGAGUAACGCGUAUCCAACCUGCCCACCACUUGGGGAUAACCUUGCGAAAGUAAGACUAAUACCCAAUGAUAUCUCUAGAAGACAUCUGAAAGAGAUUAAAGAUUUAUCGGUGAUGGAUGGGGAUGCGUCUGAUUAGCUUGUUGGCGGGGUAACGGCCCACCAAGGCAACGAUCAGUAGGGGUUCUGAGAGGAAGGUCCCCCACACUGGUACUGAGACACGGACCAGACUCCUACGGGAGGCAGCA
rnacentral:rRNA from 1 species